GGGCCCGUAAAGGUUUCGACGGGGAUUUUGAGGUAUGAUAAGCGAGUAGAGACGGGCACACUCUUUAACUGCCCAAACUUUAAAAUUAAACGCUAACAAUAACGUAGCAAUGGCCGCGUAAGCGGUGCCGCUGCCAUAAGGCAGCCCGCUCCUUUCGGGAGUAUCACGGCCCGAAACUGAGUGUCAUGUAGUGAUGAACGUGAAUCGCGAGCUCGUCGUCGUAACGAUCACGCAUAAGACGGCUGCCGAAGAUGUGUUUUGUUUGUCCGCACAUUUUCGGGAGAUUACAGAUAAACUACACUCGUAGAAAGUCAUAUCAAGAGGUUUUCGGACGGGAGUUCGACUCUCCCCGGGUCCAUAA
rnacentral:tmRNA from 1 species